rnacentral:rRNA from 1 species
GCUUGCUCUUUCUGAUCAGUGGCGAACGGGUGAGUAACACGUGAGCAACCUGCCCCUGACUCUGGGAUAACCCCGAGAAAUCGGAGCUAAUACCGGAUACGAGACGCACAGGCAUCUGUAGCGUCUGGAAAGAUUUAUCGGUCAGGGAUGGGCUCGCGGCCUAUCAGCUAGUUGGUGAGGUAGUGGCUCACCAAGGCGACGACGGGUAGCCGGCCUGAGAGGGCGACCGGCCACACUGGGACUGAGACACGGCCCAGACUCCUACGGGAGGCAGCAGUGGGGAAUAUUGCACAAUGGGCGCAAGCCUGAUGCAGCGACGCCGCGUGGGGGAUGAAGGCCUUCGGGUUGUAAACCCCUUUCAGCAGGGAAGAAGCGAAAGUGACGGUACCUGCAGAAGAAGCGCCGGCUAACUACGUGCCAGCAGCCGCGGUAAUACGUAGGGCGCAAGCGUUGUCCGGAAUUAUUGGGCGUAAAGAGCUCGUAGGUGGUUUGUCGCGUCUGCUGUGAAAACCCGAGGCUCAACCUCGGGCUUGCAGUGGGUACGGGCAGACUAGAGUGCGGUAGGGGAGACUGGAAUUCCUGGUGUAGCGGUGGAAUGCGCAGAUAUCAGGAGGAACACCGAUGGCGAAGGCAGGUCUCUGGGCCGCAACUGACACUGAGGAGCGAAAGCAUGGGGAGCGAACAGGAUUAGAUACCCUGGUAGUCCAUGCCGUAAACGUUGGGCACUAGGUGUGGGGCUCAUUCCACGAGUUCCGUGCCGCAGCUAACGCAUUAAGUGCCCCGCCUGGGGAGUACGGCCGCAAGGCUAAAACUCAAAGGAAUUGACGGGGGCCCGCACAAGCGGCGGAGCAUGCGGAUUAAUUCGAUGCAACGCGAAGAACCUUACCAAGGCUUGACAUAUACCGAAAACUCGUGGAGACACGGGGUCCGCAAGGGCGGUAUACAGGUGGUGCAUGGUUGUCGUCAGCUCGUGUCGUGAGAUGUUGGGUUAAGUCCCGCAACGAGCGCAACCCUCGUCCUAUGUUGCCAGCGGAUAAUGCCGGGG